AGUGGACGCUGGCGGUAGGCCUAACACAUGCAAGUCGAACGGCAGCACAGUAAGAGCUUGCUCUUACGGGUGGCGAGUGGCGGACGGGUGAGGAAUACAUCGGAAUCUACUUUUUCGUGGGGGAUAACGUAGGGAAACUUACGCUAAUACCGCAUACGACCUACGGGUGAAAGCAGGGGAUCUUCGGACCUUGCGCGAUUGAAUGAGCCGAUGUCGGAUUAGCUAGUUGGCGGGGUAAAGGCCCACCAAGGCGACGAUCCGUAGCUGGUCUGAGAGGAUGAGCAGCCACACUGGAACUGAGACACGGUCCAGACUCCUACGGGGGGCAGCAGUGGGGAAUAUUGGACAAUGGGCGCAAGCCUGAUCCAGCCAUACCGCGUGGGUGAAGAAGGCCUUCGGGUUGUAAAGCCCUUUUGUUGGGAAAGAAAAGCAGCAGGUUAAUACCCCGCUGUUCUGACGGUACCCAAAGAAUAAGCACCGGCUAACUUCGUG
rnacentral:rRNA from 1 species